rnacentral:tRNA from 1 species
GGGCCCGUAGUCUAGCGGUUACGAAGGGAAAACGCCGCAAAUGACGUCACCCUUACACGGUGAAGGUCCCCAGUUCGAUCCUGGGCGGGCCCA